rnacentral:rRNA from 1 species
AUUGAACGCUGGCGGCAUGCCUUACACAUGCAAGUCGAACGGUAACAGGUCUUCGGAUGCUGACGAGUGGCGAACGGGUGAGUAAUACAUCGGAACGUGCCUAGCAGUGGGGGAUAACUACUCGAAAGAGUGGCUAAUACCGCAUGAGAUCUACGGAUGAAAGCAGGGGAUCGCAAGAUCUUGUGCUACUAGAGCGGCCGAUGGCAGAUUAGGUAGUUGGUGGGAUAAAAGCUUACCAAGCCGACGAGCUGUAGCUGGUCUGAGAGGACGAUCAGCCACACUGGGACUGAGACACGGCCCAGACUCCUACGGGAGGCAGCAGUGGGGAAUUUUGGACAAUGGGCGCAAGCCUGAUCCAGCAAUGCCGCGUGCAGGAUGAAGGCCUUCGGGUUGUAAACUGCUUUUGUACGGAACGAAAAGCCCUGGGUUAAUACCCUGGGGUCAUGACGGUACCGUAAGAAUAAGCACCGGCUAACUACGUGCCAGCCGCCGCGGUAACAC